rfam:Triticum aestivum genome assembly, contig: Triticum_aestivum_CS42_TGACv1_scaffold_604226_7DL
AAACUACUCCCUCCGUCUGGAAAUACUUGUCAGAGAAAUGUAUGUAUCUAGACGUACUUUAGUUCCAGAUACAUCCAUUUAUCAAUUUCUCUGACAAGUAUUUCCGGACGGAGGAAGUAUCUG